GUUUCUAUAGUUGAAUAACAACAAUGAUUUUUCAUAUCAUAAGUCAUAGUUUAAUGCUAUGUAGGAAUG
rnacentral:tRNA from 1 species